rnacentral:misc_RNA from 1 species
AUAAAAUAAAGUUACAACCUGAUACCAGCUGUAACACAAUCAACAUAAUAAUCCAAUAAAAUACAGAUUGGAAGUUACAUUACAAUCCCAAAUGACAUGAUAUUAUACGUUCAUCAAACAAUCUAUCCACAAGAGAAAACAACCAAAAGCCAAGAAUAAAUAGAAAAAGUAGCUAGAUACUCCAUUAGCGAAGUAGUAAUAAUAUGGUCUUCAAAUAUCCACCAUAUGAUGAUCACUUGGUGAGGACCCAAAUAGCAUAAAUGAUACCAGGUAGCCACCCAAAGAGAGUCAGCAAAACACAGAUCCAGAACUCCACCUGGCAGUUAAAUUUGAGGAAAACACCAAGGGGAGGCAAGAUAAUGGCCAGAAGAAUGUCUAUGCAUGUCAUAGUGUUGUCUCCCAUUUUCUCUUCUGAUAAUCAAAUGCUAAUUAAACAAUCAGUAGGUAUUUUGAUUAAAACAGGAGGAAGUUGUGGCCACUAUAUAUAGG